rnacentral:tRNA from 1 species
GGCGCCGUGGCCAAGUGGCAAGGCACAGGCUUAAGCAAUACCUGGAUCCGAGGUUCGAAUCCUUGCGGCGCCU